UACAGAGGGUGCAAGCGUUGUUCGGAAUUACUGGGCGUAAAGCGCGUGUAGGUGGCGAUGUAAGUCGGGUGUGAAAGCCCUUGGCUUAACCAAGGAAGUGCACUCGAUACUGUGUCGCUUGAGUAUCGGAGGGGACGGCGGAAUUCCCGGUGUAGAGGUGAAAUUCGUAGAUAUCGGGAGGAACACCUGUGGCGAAGGCGGCGAGCUGGGCCAUGUCUGACGCUGAGGCGCGACAGCGUGGGGAGCAAACAGG
rnacentral:rRNA from 1 species